rnacentral:rRNA from 1 species
GAUGAACGCUGGCGGCGUGCCUAAUACAUGCAAGUCGAGCGAACAGAUAAGGAGCUUGCUCCUUUGACGUUAGCGGCGGACGGGUGAGUAACACGUGGGUAACCUACCUAUAAGACUGGAAUAACUCCGGGAAACCGGGGCUAAUGCCGGAUAACAUUUAGAACCGCAUGGUUCUAAAGUGAAAGAUGGUUUUGCUAUCACUUAUAGAUGGACCCGCGCCGUAUUAGCUAGUUGGUAAGGUAACGGCUUACCAAGGCAACGAUACGUAGCCGACCUGAGAGGGUGAUCGGCCACACUGGAACUGAGACACGGUUCAGACUCCUACGGGAGGCAGCAGUAGGGAAUCUUCCGCAAUGGGCGAAAGCCUGACGGAGCAACGCCGCGUGAGUGAUGAAGGUCUUCGGAUCGUAAAACUCUGUUAUUAGGGAAGAACAAAUGUGUAAGUAACUGUGCACGUCUUGACGGUACCUAAUCAGAAAGCCACGGCUAACUACGUG